UACGGAGGAUGCAAGCGUUAUCCGGAAUGAUUGGGCGUAAAGCGUCCGCAGGUGGCUAUGUAAGUCUGCUGUUAAAGAGUGAGGCUCAACCUCAUAAGAGCAGUGGAAACUACAUGGCUAGAGUGCGUUCGGGGCAGAGGGAAUUCCUGGUGUAGCGGUGAAAUGCGUAGAUAUCAGGAAGAACACCGGUGGCGAAAGCGCUCUGCUAGGCCGCAACUGACACUGAGGGACGAAAGCUAGGGGAGCGAACAGG
rnacentral:rRNA from 1 species